ACCAAUUCUUUAAAACCGGUGGGGAAAAUAUGGGGAAAAAUGGGCGGGUUUUUAAGGAGAGGUUUUUUCCACCGGUUCAAACUGAACCGGUGGAGAAAACCAUUAUUCCCACCGGUUUGAACCGAAUCGGUGACAUUUCCUAUUUAAAAAAAAAACCCUCAUAUACUCCUAAUCUCCUCUCCUCUCUCUCCUUCUCUCUCUAGAUCUACUGCCCUUUCAUCUCACCACCACCAAGUCUACCACCGCCGUCUCUGUCCUCUCUCCCCUCGCUUUGCUCUUCUCUCUCUUUCUCUUUUGUCUUCCCGAUUCUCGUCCCCCUCCCUUUCGUUUCCACCACUUCGAACACCACCGAAGAUCACCACCAAGACCAACAUCCAAGACCACCAUGAAGACCACGAACAACACCGACUUUAAUCGAGGUAUAUUUCAAGAACAGGAAUAUGAAUCGAAGAAUCAAGAUGUUGUAUGGGGUUUUUUCAUUUUGAUAUUGUAAUUUUUUUUUUUGAUUUAUAUUGUAUUUUUUUUUAUUAUACCGUUGUAAUUGUUCGAUUAUAUUGAUUUGUAAUGUAAUUUUAUUUUUGAUUAAUGUUGUAAUUAAUCGAUUAUAAUGAUUGAAAUAGUUUGAUUUAUAUUUUGAUGUU